AUUGAACGCUGGCGGCAUGCCUUACACAUGCAAGUCGAACGGCAGCACGGGAGCAAUCCUGGUGGCGAGUGGCGAACGGGUGAGUAAAGUAUCGGAACGUGCCCAGUCGUGGGGGAUAACGUAGCGAAAGUUACGCUAAUACCGCAUACGAUCUAUGAAAGAAAGCGGGGGAUCGCAAGACCUCGCGCGAUUGGAGCGGCCGAUAUCAGAUUAGGUAGUUGGUGGGGUAAAGGCUCACCAAGCCGACGAUCUGUAGCUGGUCUGAGAGGACGACCAGCCACACUGGGACUGAGACACGGCCCAGACUCCUACGGGAGGCAGCAGUGGGGAAUUUUGGACAAUGGGCGAAAGCCUGAUCCAGCCAUGCCGCGUGCAGGAUGAAGGCCUUCGGGUUGUAAACUGCUUUUGUACGGAACGAAAAGGUUUGGCCUAAUAAGCUGAGCUCAUGACGGUACCGUAAGAAUAAGCACCGGCUAACUACGUGCCAGCAGCCGCCGUAA
rnacentral:rRNA from 1 species